rnacentral:lncRNA from 1 species
CGUCUCAACACCCUAAAACCACCCGGGUGGCACCAUGGGGGAUGGGGCUUCGGUAUAGUGUCGAGCGUUGAACAAUAUUUCACAAGUUCGCACGUUACCUUGACGGGAACUUGUUGUCGCGCCCGGCACCCGGUGAGCAGCUAUUUGUGGACUUGCAGCUAUUUGUCAACCCUCUAAAGUCUUUGUUUUCCUCCUCCCCCUCUUUUCUCUUGUGGACACAAGGUGCUCGCUGAAUUGCUUGUAAAGCUUCCCCUUUUUGCGAGACAUCGAGACUUGUCCGUCGCUCGUUCUUUGAACUAAUCAACUUUCUCUUUUACAGAUCCUUCAAGACCUGCGAGAGGUUGCAAGUAGGCUGAUCUUUGCGGACGUAAAUCGCAAGGGCGAAGCGCGACUUAGGCAACGCAAGCUAAGUUCGCGUCUUUGCCGUAAGGGUGCCUCACGACUUAGGCAAUUCCAGCUAAGUCCGUGACAUUGUAGUAUCAGAGCGGGCAACCACUUUGAGCGAGCAGCGAAGAAACUUCGCAACUUUGCCAUGGCAAAGCAUCGUGGCGAAUCAAGCAAGACGGGACAAGCCGGACCCUUGCCCCAAGCAGCCACAGGUGGGCUGCAAGUGCACACUCGCUCUCAUGCUGUUGGAGGCGCUCAGGAGGAGCGCGACAGCGAACAUGAUGAGCGAGAAGUUGGCUGUUCUCUGCGAGCGGAGGAGGCGCAAUCUGGAACGCCAACCGGGAAAAAGAGUCAUAAGGAGAGACUCACAACGACGGAAACCCGCUUCGAUGUUUUUGAAGCGAGCUUGGAGGAACUCUACCAUAGCCAACGAAGGCUUAUUGGGGUAGAAAGCUCGCAAGAAGAAGUGGAGUCCAGGAUCGAUAAAGUUAAGGCCCUAUUCGACCGAUUGUCAAAUGCACCAAAGACUUCGUGCAACACCGGAAGUUGGGGCGGAACUCACUUAAAGGGUGACCAUGCUCACAAGAGCACUAAAUACGGGAGGAAGCAAUACCCAUGUUGCGUCGCCACAAAACUUGAGGGCACCCGAGCCUCAUGGUUAUGGAGGGGCCAGUGAUGCUAAAGAGCUCGAGAAUUUCCUGUUCGACAUGGAACAAUACUUUCGAGCUACGAGGCCUGAUUCUAAAGAAAUCAAAGUUUCUAUAGCAACAAUGUAUUUGAACGGAGAUGCAAAACUUUGGGGGUGAACCUAUUGGGAGGAGAUCCAAUAGGGUCGGUGUCAAGUUGACACAUGAGAGGACUUGAAGCGGGAGUUGAGAAAGAUGGAGAUCCGACCAAUUGGAUCUCUAAGGCAGAAAUUUUUUUCCGUUUUCACAGAGCCCCAGAAGAAUCCAAGGUAGAAGUGGCCUCAAUCCAGCUCGAGGGAGAUGCACUCCAGUGGUACGAUUGGUAUGAAACUUUCCACGGAGUUCCUUCGUGGGAGCAAUUUAAAAGAGGGCUUCUUGUUCGCUUUGGCCCAUCCGAAUAUGAGAAUGUUGAUUGCUAGCUCGUUAAAAUUCAUCAAACUUCUACAGUGUUAGAAUAUCAGAGUAGGUUUGAGAGAUUGUCAAAUCAAGCUAGAGAUUGGUCGGACCAACAACUUCUGGAUACAUUUAUUGAAGGGUUUAUUCCAGAGAUCCGGUGUGAAGUUAAGGCUCGUUAACCCCGUACUAUGAUAGCUGCGAUCUCAUUUGCAAAUCUACAUGAGAAAAAAAUUAGCAAGGAAAGAUCAACAAGGGGUUUGUAUUAUGAUGAAAAAUGAAGUAUGGAGCACCGAUGUAAACAAGGGCAACUUCUAAUGAUUGAACCAAUUGGAGAGGAACCGAAAGCAAAGAAUGUGGACUCCAAUCAUGAAGGUAUAAAUUCUAAUGAAGAUGUUGGACCUACCAUACAUACAAUGCAUGCAUUAGCCGACUACUCUAACCCGCAAACUAUGGAAGUUGGCGAAACUCUAGAACAUCAACCUGUUAUAGUUUUGAUUGAUACUGGUAGCACUAACAAUUUUAUGGAUAGUGAGACUGUUGACCGAUUGGCCCACCACAUUGAAGACUAUGAUAGAUUCGAAGUAAAGAUCGUUGAUGGAUGGAUUUUCACUUGUGAUAGCAAAGGUUCAAAGAUAAAAUUGAUUAUACAAGGCCAGAAGUUUCAUGCAAUGAUUACUACACUAAAAGACCGACCCGUUGCUUACACUAUCAAAAAGUGGAGACCAUACUUACUUGAUCAACGGGUUGUGAUGCGUUGCAGAUAGUCUAUGGCUAGUGCUGAAAGAGAAGCUCCCCGAGAUUGAGUAUUUAUUAAGUCUGUUUAGUCCAGUUGUUUAUUGAGUCGGUUUGGUUCAAUUAGAGUCAAGUAGAGGUUUAUUUAAUAUUUAUUUAUUAUUAGAGUUCAAGCCCUGAUGGACUCUGGGUGGAACUCUAUAAAUAGGGAUGUAACUGCUUCUUUUUAGUUAUCUAUGAAAAAUACUAUUCUGUCUUUUGACAAACUCUAGGAGGCCGAUCCCCUCGAAGCGAUCAAGGAGGCCGAUCCCCUCGAAGUGAUCAUCCCUUUCUCUUUUCUUUUUUACGAUAAGACUUUAGGGUCUUAUCAUUUGGUAUCAACGCGACGAUAAGACCUUUAGGGUCUUAUCAACGACCACAAGAGUUCAAGAUCGACGAUUUGGUGUUGGUCAAGCUCCAACCAGCAUCACUCCAAUUCUUUAGGAACAAAGUAAAUAAAAGAUUGGUGCGCAAGUAAGAAGGGCCCUUCCCAAUUAUCGGUAGGGUGGGCAAUGUCUCCUACAAGUUGCAGCUACCGACGUGGUUAAAAAUUCAUAAUGUUCUUUACGCCAACAACUUGAAAGCCUACCACUCGGAUCCGCAAGAUGCUUCCCGAAGUGUUCCAACUUGGCUACCCCACACCACAGCCUCCUACGAGAAGUGAGUUGAAACCAUUUUAGCGAAUCGCAAGAUAAAGCUACCCAUUGGAGCUAAGCAUACUGUGUACUUAGUGAAGUGGCGAAAGCUUCCCCGAACUAAAGCCAGUUAAGAGACUGAAGAUGCCCUAUGACAUGAAGAAGCAAUCAUCAACUAUUAACAAGCAUCGACGAGGGCGUCGACAGUUUGAGUGGGGGAGAAUGUCACGAACGAUCAUCGCGCACUCGCAAUAACUCCAUUCAACGAACUGUUCGUCGCUCUCGUCUAUAUGUACAACUGCUUGGCAUCAUGUUUUAGCUUGGUUUUAAGUCCGUUUGCUUGUAAAAAUGUUAGUUCGAAUAAGUUGCAACGCUACAGUGUGACCACUCACCGAAUCGAGUAAAACAACCCCAAAACAGCUCAAAACAACUCCAUUUUCGUGUGUCAUGGGCUGUUUUCUGUAGCCCGUUGCCGCACGUGAAAUGUUAGUCAUCUCAGGACCUUGGAACCACCUGGGUGGCACCAUGGGGGAUGGAGCUUCGGUAUAGUGUCGGGCGUUGAACAAUCUUUCGCAAGUUCGCACGUUAUCUUGACGGGAACUUGUUGUCGCACUCGGCACCUAGUGAGCAAUUGUUUGUGGACUUGCAGCUAUUCGUUCAACCCUCUAAAGUUCUUGUUUUCCUCCUCUCCCUCUUUUCUCUUGUGCACGCAAGGUGCUCGCUGAAUUUCUUGUAAAGCUUUCCCUUUU